ACUGUUUCAUAUGAAAAACAUUCUUCGGUGGCUCUUUUCCCUCUGCUUUUAUCUUAGAUUCCAAUUCUGCGUCAUUCUGGGUAGAGUAAAAUUAAAGCUAAAACCGGCUUAGGUACCAUUGCCAAUAAUGGUUCGUCCAGCCCGUAGACGUCACUAAGUUUCCAUUUUGCCGGUACGCCAAUUUUAUGGAUAAACUAUAAAAAGAAUUUUAAUUAAUUAAUAAAAACUUACUAUUUAAUUUAUAAUUAAAAAUUUUAGAUGUUUUUUGGAGAAUUGCGUACCUUGGUCAUAACCUAAAUGCAAAAAAAAAUAUAUAUUAGUAUUUUGAAGAUUGUUUAUAAAAAAAAAGCCGGUUACUUACCUCAGGGUUAGAUUCAAGCGGUAUCAGAGUCAUUUUUGUUUAAUUAUUUAAACUUAAAUGAAUUCAACAAGAUAGUUAUUACUUUUGUAAAAAAGUUAAGACUGGAUGACGAUUGUUAUAUUUGAAAAAUAUACUGCGUAUAAAAAAGUUGAAUCACGAA